rnacentral:tRNA from 3 species
GGAGAGAUGGCCGAGUGGUUUAAGGCGGCGGUCUUGAAAACCGUUGAGCGAAAGCUCCGGGGGUUCGAAUCCCUCUCUCUCCGCCA